rnacentral:lncRNA from 1 species
CCGAAUUUGAUCCGAUUCGAACGGUUAUGCAUACAGCGUAAUGCUGCAUAUUAUAAUUUGUUUAUGUAAAAUAGAAAAUUGUCAUAUUUAAUCAUCCAAAACUCAAUUCAUAAUUUUAGUUAAAUUAAGUCAAAAUCAUCAAACUUUGAAAGAAAACUAAAAUUCAAAAUAUGUAAAAAUAAUAAAGGAUUGGGUCAGCCUAAAUUGGAUCCGGACAUUCUUUUCUCUCGUGGGUCGGGUUUGGGAUCCAAUUGUAAGACUUUCUCUCCUAUCCUAAUCUGACCUGGUCCACUUGUAAAUUUGUUACGUUGAGUCUGUACUAAAAUCUCUAUUUGAUUCGAAUUCGACCUUUCUGUUUUUAUUUCUUUAAAUUCAAUAGUUUUAAAUACAAAUGAUUAUUUUUUAUUAUUAUUAUUAUUAUUAUUAUUAUUAUUAUUAUUAUUAUAAAAUAGUUAUUGAGUUGACACGUGCAAACUAAAAGAUUUGGUGGUUGGUAUUCGAAAUCCCAAGUUUAAAUCCUAGUUGAUUAAUAUUUCUGGCUAAGUUUAUUUCUAAA